GAUGAACGCUGGCGGCGUGCCUAAUACAUGCAAGUAGAACGCUGAAGGAAGGAGCUUGCUCUUUCCGGAUGAGUUGCGAACGGGUGAGUAACGCGUAGGUAACCUGCCUGGUAGCGGGGGAUAACUAUUGGAAACGAUAGCUAAUACCGCAUAACAGUAGAUGUUGCAUGAUAUCUACUUAAAAGGUGCAAUUGCACCACUACCAGAUGGACCUGCGUUGUAUUAGCUAGUUGGUGAGGUAACGGCUCACCAAGGCGACGAUACAUAGCCGACCUGAGAGGGUGAUCGGCCACACUGGGACUGAGACACGGCCCAGACUCCUACGGGAGGCAGCAGUAGGGAAUCUUCGGCAAGAGACGGAAGUCUGACCGAGCAACGCCGCGUGAGUGAAGAAGGUUUUCGGAUCGUAAAGCUCUGUUGUAAGAGAAGAACGAGUGUGAGAGUGGAAAGUUCACACUGUGACGGUAUCUUACCAGAAAGGGACGGCUAACUACGUG
rnacentral:rRNA from 1 species